rnacentral:rRNA from 1 species
GACGAACGCUGGCGGCGUGCUUAACACAUGCAAGUCGAACGGAAAGGCCCCUUUGGGGGUACUCGAGUGGCGAACGGGUGAGUAACACGUGAGUAACCUGCCCUUGACUUCGGGAUAACUUCAGGAAACUGGGGCUAAUACCGGAUAGGAAUCCUUGCUGCAUGGUGGGGGUUGGAAAGCUUCGGCGGUUUUGGAUGGACUCGCGGCUUAUCAGCUUGUUGGUGGGGUAGUGGCUUACCAAGGCUUUGACGGGUAGCCGGCCUGAGAGGGCGACCGGCCACAUUGGGACUGAGAUGCGGCCCAGACUCCUAAGGGAGGAAGAUGUGGGGAAGAUUGCACAAUGGGCGGAAGGCUGAUGCAGCAGCGCCGCGUGCGGGAUGACGGCCUUCGGGUUGAAGACCGCUUUCAGCAGGGGCGAAGCUUGUGGUGACGGUACCUGCAGAAGAAGCACCGGCUAACUACGUG